CAACCUAUAAAGUACUCAGAACAUACUUUUGUCUGCCCUGUCCAUCGACAUUGCGACGGUACCUGGCCAACAUCUUGGGGCAUUUCAAACAAGGGUUUUUAGAUACCAUCAUUGCCCAGAUGAAAAAUCGAGUCAAGACAAUGGAGCCUCAUCAACGCAAUGUCGCAAUUGUGUUGGAUGAGAUGGCCAUUAAAAAACAUCUGUGUUACAAUCCUACAUUUGAUUGUGUAGAUGGCUUGACGGGCACAGGAAAGAUGGCUGACCACGCAAUGGUCAUCAUGUGUAGAGGCAUAGCUUCUAAAUGGAAACAAGCAAUCGCUUAUUUCUUUGCGAAAUCGGCUUUGCCUGCAGAGGAAACUGCAGACAUAUUGGUGGAGGCUGUAAGACGUAUGGCUAGGAUUGGU